AGGGAAUCUUCGGCAAUGGGGGCAACCCUGACCGAGCAACGCCGCGUGAGUGAAGAAGGUUUUCGGAUCGUAAAGCUCUGUUGUAAGUCAAGAACGAGUGUGAGAGUGGAAAGUUCACACUGUGACGGUAGCUUACCAGAAAGGGACGGCUAACUACGUGCCGGCAGCCGCGGUAAUACGUAGGUCCCGAGCGUUGUCCGGAUUUAUUGGGCGUAAAGCGAGCGCAGGCGGUUUGAUAAGUCUGAAGUUAAAGGCUGUGGCUCAACCAUAGUUCGCUUUGGAAACUGUCAAACUUGAGUGCAGAAGGGGAGAGUGGAAUUCCAUGUGUAGCGGUGAAAUGCGUAGAUAUAUGGAGGAACACCGGUGGCGAAAGCGGCUCUCUGGUCUGUAACUGACGCUGAGGCUCGAAAGCGUGGGGAGCGAACAGGAUUAGAUACCCUGGUAGUCCACGCCGUAAACGAUGAGUGCUAGGUGUUGGAUCCUUUCCGGGAUUCAGUGCCGCAGCUAACGCAUUAAGCACUCCGCCUGGGGAGUACGACCGCAAGGUUG
rnacentral:rRNA from 1 species